rnacentral:rRNA from 1 species
UUCCUACGGGAGGCAGCAGUGAGGAAUAUUGGUCAAUGGGAGAGAUCCUGAACCAGCCAAGCCGCGUGAGGGAAGACGGCCCUAUGGGUUGUAAACCUCUUUUGUCGGAGAACAAAACCCGGGACGAGUCCCGGACUGCGUGUAUCCGAAGAAAAAGCAUCGGCUAACUCCGUGCCAGCAGCCGCGGUAAUACGGAGGAUGCGAGCGUUAUCCGGAUUUAUUGGGUUUAAAGGGUGCGUAGGCGGUCCGUUAAGUCAGCGGUAAAAUUGCGGGGCUCAACUCCGUCGAGCCGUUGAAACUGGCAG